rnacentral:rRNA from 1 species
GACGAACGCUGGCGGCGUGCCUAACACAUGCAAGUCGAACGGAGUGGCGAACGGGUGAGUAACACGUGGGUGAUCUGCCUUGCACUUCGGGAUAAGCUUGGGAAACUGGGUCUAAUACCGGAUAGUGCAAGAUGAGCUCGCGGCCUAUCAGCUUGUUGGUGGGGUAAUGGCCUACCAAGGCGUCGACGGGUGGCCGGCCUGGGAGGGUGUACGGCCACAUUGGGACUGAGGUACGGCCCAGACUGCUACGGGGGGCAGCAGUGGGGAAUAUUGCGCAAUGGGCGGAAGCCUGAUGCAGCGACGCCGGGUGGGGGAGGAAGGCUUUCGGGUUGUAAACUCCUUUCGACAGGAAAACGGUACCUAUAUAAGAAGCACCGGCUAACUACGUGCCAGCAGCCGCGGUAAUUC